rnacentral:hammerhead_ribozyme from 1 species
AUCCAGCUGAAGGGUCACGAAGAGGACGAAACACGCGUCCUGGAU